UAACGCGUGGGUAACCUGCCUUGUACUGGGGGACAACAGUUGGAAACGACUGCUAAUACCGCAUAAGCGCACAGCUUCGCAUGAAGCAGUGUGAAAAACUCCGGUGGUACAAGAUGGACCCGCGUCUGAUUAGCUGGUUGGUGAGGUAACGGCCCACCAAGGCGACGAUCAGUAGCCGGCCUGAGAGGGUGAACGGCCACAUUGGGACUGAGACACGGCCCAAACUCCUACGGGAGGCAGCAGUGGGGAAUAUUGCACAAUGGGGGAAACCCUGAUGCAGCAACGCCGCGUGAGUGAAGAAGUAUUUCGGUAUGUAAAGCUCUAUCAGCAGGAAAGAAAAUGACGGUACCUGACUAAGAAGCCCCGGCUAACUACGUGCCAGCAGCCGCGGUAAUACGUAGGGGGCAAGCGUUAUCCGGAUUUACUGGGUGUAAAGGGAGCGUAGACGGUUUUGCAAGUCUGAAGUGAAAGCCCGGGGCUUAACCCCGGGACUGCUUUGGAAACUGUAGAACUAGAGUGCAGGAGAGGUAAGUGGAAUUCCUAGUGUAGCGGUGAAAUGCGUAGAUAUUUGGAGGAACACCAGUGGCGAAGGCGGCUUACUGGACUGUAACUGACGUUGAGGCUCGAAAGCGUGGGGAGCAAACAGGAUUAGAUACCCUGGUAGUCCACGCCGUAAACGAUGAUUACUAGGUGU
rnacentral:rRNA from 1 species